UACGUAGGGGGCAAGCGUUGUCCGGAUUUACUGGGCGUAAAGAGCGCGCAGGCGGUCGUACAAGUCGCGUGUGAAAGCCCCCGGCUCAACUGGGGAGGGUCACGCGAUACUGUUCGACUCGAAGGCAGGAGAGGGUAGUGGAAUUCCCGGUAUAGUGGUGAAAUGCGUAGAUAUCGGGAGGAACACCAGUGGCGAAGGCGACUACCUGGCCUGUUCUUGACGCUGAGGCGCGAAAGCUAGGGUAGCAAACGGG
rnacentral:rRNA from 1 species